rnacentral:lncRNA from 1 species
CUUUGGUUUUUGAGUUAUAAGCCAAAAACUGCAUUUUACCCCUAUGUUCUAUUUUUAGGCGUGGCGGCCAUCUUGGUUAGUUGGCCGGGUCACCGGACACAUUUUUUAAACUAGAUACCCCAAUGAUGAUUGUGGCCAAGUCUGGAUUAAUUUGGCCCAGUAGUUUCAGAGGAGAAGAUUUUUGUAAAAGAUUACUAAGAUUUACGAAAAAUGGUUAAAAAUUGACUAUAAAGGGAAAUAACUCCUAAAUUGGUCAACUGACCAUUUUGGUCAUGUUGACUUGUUUGUAAAUCUUACUUUGCUGAACAUUAUUGCUGUUUACAGUUUAUCUC